UACAGAGGUCUCAAGCGUUGUUCGGAUUCAUUGGGCGUAAAGGGUGCGUAGGUGGCGCGCUAAGUCAGGUGUGAAAUUUCGGAGCUUAACUCCGAAACUGCAUUUGAUACUGGCGUGCUUGAGGACUGGAGAGGAGACUGGAAUUCACGGUGUAGCAGUGAAAUGCGUAGAUAUCGUGAGGAAGACCAGUGGCGAAGGCGGGUCUGCUGGACAGUUCCUGACACUGAGGCAGCGAAGGCCAGGGGAGCAAACGGG
rnacentral:rRNA from 1 species